ACAGAGGGGGCAAGCGUUAUUCGGAAUUAUUGGGCGUAAAGGGCGCGUAGGCGGCUUGGCAAGUGGAAGGUGAAAUCCCUCGGCUCAACUGAGGAACUGCCUUCCAGAUUGCUUUGCUUGAGUCCGGGAGAGGUGAGUGGAAUUCCCAGUGUAGCGGUGAAAUGCGUAGAGAUGUGGAGGAACACCAGUGGCGAAGGCGACUCUCUGGUCUGUAACUGACGCUGAGGCGCGAAAGCGUGGGGAGCAAACAGGA
rnacentral:rRNA from 1 species